rnacentral:rRNA from 1 species
UACGGGGGGGGCAAGCGUUGUUCGGAAUUACUGGGCGUAAAGGGUUCGUAGGUGGCUUGCUAAGUCAGACGUGAAAUCCCUCAGCUUAACUGGGAACUGCGUCUGAUACUGGCGAGCUUGAGUGCAGGAGAGGAACGCGGAAUUCCAGGUGUAGCGGUGAAAUGCGUAGAUAUCUGGAGGAGCACCGGUGGCGAAGGCGGCGUUCUGGACUGCAACUGACACUGAGGAACGAAAGCCAGGGGAGCAAACGGG